GGCUUAACACAUGCAAGUCGAGGGGUAGCAGGGUAGCAAUACCGCUGACGACCGGCGCACGGGUGAGUAACACGUAUCCAACCUUCCCAUAACUCGGGGAUAGCCUUUCGAAAGAAAGAUUAAUACCCGAUAGUACUUUUUUAGGGCAUCUUAGAAAAGUUAAAGAUUUAUUGGUUAUGGAUGGGGAUGCGUUCCAUUAGAUAGUUGGUGAGGUAACGGCUCACCAAGUCUUCGAUGGAUAGGGGUUCUGAGAGGAAGGUCCCCCACAUUGGUACUGAGACACGGACCAAACUCCUACGGGAGGCAGCAGUGAGGAAUAUUGGUCAAUGGGCGAGAGCCUGAACCAGCCAAGUAGCGUGAAGGAUGACGG
rnacentral:rRNA from 1 species